rnacentral:tRNA from 1 species
CAGGGAGACAACAAAAUGUUAAAUAUUAAUUUUGUCACCUUAGGUCGAUCGGUAUCUCACAUUCUUAAUUUCUUUAAGGAUUUCUUUUCCUAAGUUUUUCUCUAGGUCACACCCAUUACUCUCCCUGGGCCAUUAGCUCAGGUGGUUAGUGCGCACCCCUGAUAAGGGUGAGGUCCCUGGUUCAAGUCCAGGAUGGCCCAUAUCUCUAUGUUGGGGGUAUAGCUCAGUUGGUAGAGCGCCUGCUUUGCAAGCAGGAUGUCAGCGGUUCGAGUCCGCUUACCUCCACUGAUUACCACCUCUUCCAUACAUUGUGUAGGGAAAUGUUUUGAGUAUUGAUCAAAUUCUUAAAGACUCUAGCUUCCUAAUAUCUUUAUUAAGAUGCUGGACUCAUUGAAUUAAUUUCUUUGUUUUCAGAGAACCUUGACAACUGCAUAGAUUAUUUUUAAAGACAAUUGGCAUCUUAAAAGAUGCAGAUUUAUUAUUUGUGCGAAUGCAUUAAUAACAAUUCUAUUAAGCUGAUGCUUCAAUUAUGAAGUUAUU